rnacentral:rRNA from 1 species
AUUAAACGCUGGCGGCAUGCCUUACACAUGCAAGUCGAACGGUAGCGCGGGGCAACCUGGCGACGAGUGGCGAACGGGUGAGUAAAGCAUCGGAACGUGCCCUGGAAUGGGGGAGUAACGUAGCGAAAGUUAACGCUAAUACCGCAUAUUCUGUGAGCAGGAAAGGACAGGGGAGUCGCAAGAACCUUGCGUUCUGGGAGGCGGCCGAUGUCGGAUUAGCUAGUUGGUGGGGUAAAAGGACCUACCAAGGACGACGAUCCGUAGCGGGUCGUGAGAGGAUGAUCCGCCACACUGGGACGUGAGACACGGCCCACGACUCCUA